GAUGAACGCUGGCGGCGUGCCUAAUACAUGCAAGUCGAGCGAACAGACGAGGAGCUUGCUCCUCUGACGUUAGCGGCGGACGGGUGAGUAACACGUGGAUAACCUACCUAUAAGACUGGGAUAACUUCGGGAAACCGGAGCUAAUACCGGAUAAUAUAUUGAACCGCAUGGUUCAAUAGUGAAAGACGGUUUUGCUGUCACUUAUAGAUGGAUCCGCGCCGCAUUAGCUAGUUGGUAAGGUAACGGCUUACCAAGGCAACGAUGCGUAGCCGACCUGAGAGGGUGAUCGGCCACACUGGAACUGAGACACGGUCCAGACUCCUACGGGAGGCAGCAGUAGGGAAUCUUCCGCAAAGGGCGAAAGCCUGACGGAGCAACGCCGCGUGAGUGAUGAAGGUCUUUGGAUCGUAAAACUCUGUUAUUAGGGAAGAACAAAUGUGUAAGUAACUAUGCACGUCUUGACGGUACCUAAUCAGAAAGCCACGGCUAACUACGUG
rnacentral:rRNA from 1 species